rnacentral:rRNA from 1 species
CCUACGGGAGGCAGCAGUGGGGAAUAUUGCACAAUGGGCGCAAGCCUGAUGCAGCAACGCCGCGUGAAGGAAGACGGUUUUCGGAUUGUAAACUUCUAUCCAUAGGGACGAAAGAAAUGACGGUACCUCAAUAAGAAGCCCCGGCUAACUACGUGCCAGCAGCCGCGGUAAUACGUAGGGGGCAAGCGUUAUCCGGAAUUACUGGGUGUAAAGGGCGUGUAGGCGGCAAGGCAAGCGAGAUGUGAAAGCCUGAAGCUUAACUAAAGGACUGCAUUAGAAACUAUUUAGCUAGAGUACAGGAGAGGAAAGCGGAAGUCCGAGUGUAGCGGUGAAAUGCGUAGAUAUUAGGAGGAACACCAGUGGCGAAGGCGGCUUGCUGGACUGUAACUGACGCUGAGGCGCGAAAGCGUGGGGAGCGAACAGGAUUAGAUACCCCAGUAGUC